GAUGAAGAACGUAGCGAAAUGCGAUAAGUAGUGUGAAUUGCAGAAUUCAGUGAAUCAUCGAAUCUUUGAACGCACAUUGCGCCCCUUGGUAUCCCGAGGGGCAUGCCUGUUCGAGCGUCAUUUCACCACUCAAGCCUGGCUUGGUGUUGGGCGACGUCCCCUUUGGGGACGCGCCUCGAAACGCUCGGCGGCGUGGCACCGGCUUUAAGCGUAGCAGAAUCUUUCGCUUUGGAAGUCGGGGCCCCGUCUGCCGGAAGACCUACUCGCAAGGUUGACCUCGGAUCAGGCAGGGAUACCCGCUGAACUUGAGCAUAUCAAUAAGCGGAGGA
rnacentral:misc_RNA from 1 species